rnacentral:rRNA from 1 species
GAUGAACGCUGGCGGCGUGCCUAAUACAUGCAAGUCGAGCGAACAGACGAGGAGCUUGCUCCUCUGACGUUAGCGGCGGACGGGUGAGUAACACGUGUAUAACCUACCUAUAAGACUGGGCUAACUUCGGGAAACCGUAGCUAAUACCGGAUAAUAUAUUGAACCGCAUGGUUCAAUAGUGAAAGACGGUUUUGCUGUCACUUAUAGAUGGAUCCGCGCCGCAUUAGCUAGUUGGUAAGGUAACGGCUUACCAAGGCAACGAUGCGUAGCCGACCUGAGAGGGUGAUCGGCCACACUGGAACUGAGACACGGUCCAGACUCCUACGGGAGGCAGCAGUAGGGAAUCUUCCGCAAUGGGCGAAAGCCUGACGGAGCAACGCCGCGUGAGUGAUGAAGGUCUUCGGAUCGUAAAACUCUGUUAUUAGGGAAGAACAAAUGUGUAAGUAACUAUGCACGUCUUGACGGUACCUAAUCAGAAAGCAACGGCUAACUACGUG